rnacentral:tRNA from 1 species
UAGGGCAUAGCUUAAAAGAAAAGCCACUCACUUACACCGAGUACAUGCCCGAUCAAACCGGACUGCCCUAAC